rnacentral:misc_RNA from 1 species
AAUCAAGUCAAUUGCCUUAUCAGGCAAGAAUCGAUCACUAAUGUACUGGUAUGACAGCUGUGCAGCAGCUUCUAAUGCUUCAUCUGUGUAACGAAGUUUAUGGUGGAUUUCAUAGCGCUCCCUAAGGCCUUUCAAAAUUUGUAUGGUUUCAUCCACAGAUGGUUCUGGCACUUUGACUGGCUGAAAACGUCUUUCUAAGGCUGGGUCUUUCUCAAUGUGUUUUCUGUAUUCAUCCAGGGUUGUAGCUCCAAUGCACUGCAAUUCACCCCUUGCAAGGGCGGGUUUUAAUAUGUUUGCUGCAUCAAUUGCUCCUUCGGCAGCCCCUGCUCCAAUUAGUGUGUGGACCUCAUCAAUAAAAAGGAUAAUCUCAUCGCUUUGUUUUAUUUCCUCCAUCAGUUUUUUUAAUCUUUCCUCAAACUCCCCACGAUAUUUUGUGCCAGCUACAAGAAGCCCCAUAUCCAAGGUUAUAACCUUCUUCCCUUCUAUUGUUUCAGGAACAUCCCCAUUAGCAAUCCUUUGAGCCAGACCUUCGGCAAUGGCAGUUUUCCCAACACCAGGUUCACCAAUGAGGCAAGGGUUAUUUUUUGUUCGUCGACCAAGAAUUUGGGUAACACGUUCUAUUUGCUGCUGCCUACCAACAACAGGAUCUAGUUUACCCUCUUCUGCCAGCUUAGUUAAGUUUGUCCCAUACUCUUCCAGGGUUGGCAUCUUGUUCCCACUGGUCCCUCCUCCAACACCAGCACCAACAGCCUCUGUGCUCUCACCCACCAUUCGAAUAACCUGAGUCCGUAUGUUCGUGGGAUCAGCACCUAAAUUUUCAAGAACACGAGCUGCAACACCCUCCCCUUCACGAAGCAGUCCCAGAAGCAAGUGCUCGGACCCAAUAUAAUUGUGGCCAAGUUGGCGAGCUUCCUCGAGAGAGAGUUCCAAAACACGCUUCGCGCGAGGAGUGAAUGGAAUUUCUACAGCAACAAAACCACUUCCCCGACCAAUUAUCUUCUCCACUUCCACACGUGCAUCUUUAAGAUUAAUUCCCAUAGAUUUAAGAACCUUAGCAGCAAUUCCUGUGCCUUCCCCAAUAAGACCCAAAAGGAUCUGCUCUGUGCCAACAAAAUUGUGACCAAGCCGCCUCGCUUCCUCCUGAGCAAGCAUAAUUACUUUAAUUGCCUUCUCAGUAAAUCGCUCAAACAUAGCUCUUGGAACACACCUGCUAGCCUUUCGUCGCCUAGAGAUUGUAAUGGCCAUCUUAGAAUGAAAAUUUUGUCCAGUUCUCAACAUGUUAUCCAAAGAAUUAAAUCCCCUGAGUCCAGAGAAACUUCUUAUUGUCAAACCAGGUGCAUGUACGGUGGCCAUCAUUUUAACAACCCGUUUUACAUUUGCUGACCCCCUUGAUGAUAGGCCAUUCUUUCUUCCACCGACCAAACCAGGAAUAUUUGUCGACUGAACCAGAACUCUCGCCAUGAUAUCCACUGACUUGAGAGUUGAUACUGAUAAGGCGUUCGGUGGGAAGAGAAGGGCGGAGAAGAUGA